CAGAAACAUUCCGUCUACUUGUAUGCAAGCGGCGGGCGAGAGCGGUGCGUUGUGCUUGCGUGCGUGGCGUCGUGGUUAGGGAAGUGCUAAGUGUGAGUUAAUUUAUCGUUCAUCUUCUGUGUUUUCUUCGCGCUGGGUUUGUACCCGCAUCACAGGCCUCAUCGUGGGACAGACAACGCUGAAGCACCCCUUCGAGAAAAAAGAGUAGUGCCCUUGUUAGUGUUCUGUGGCGGCGACCAGAUGAAGCCUCAUGCUGGUGAAGGAGGACGGUGCUGGUGGUGGGAGUCCUGCUUUCAUAUGGGUUGCGUGGGAGAUGAAUUCUCUCGUCUUGACUAUGCUGGUGGGUGUCCUGAAGAAAUGAUCGCAAAGACGCUGGAUCAAAAUUACACAAGAGUUGCACAGGUGUAAAAAAAAGAUAUUCGGAUGGAAGUCGAGA